rnacentral:rRNA from 1 species
GAUGAACGCUGGCGGCGUGCCUAAUACAUGCAAGUCGAGCGAACAGAUAAGGAGCUUGCUCCUUUGACGUUAGCGGCGGACGGGUGAGUAACACGUGGGUAACCUACCUAUAAGACUGGGAUAACUUCGGGAAACCGGAGCUAAUACCGGAUAACAUUUGGAACCGCAUGGUUCUAAAGUGAAAGAUGGUUUUGCUAUCACUUAUAGAUGGACCCGCGCCGUAUUAGCUAGUUGGUAAGGUAACGGCUUACCAAGGCGACGAUACGUAGCCGACCUGAGAGGGUGAUCGGCCACACUGGAACUGAGACACGGUCCAGACUCCUACGGGAGGCAGCAGUAGGGAAUCUUCCGCAAUGGGCGAAAGCCUGACGGAGCAACGCCGCGUGAGUGAUGAAGGGUUUCGGCUCGUAAAACUCUGUUAUUAGUGAAGAACAAAUGUGUAAGUAACUGUGCACGUCUUGACGGUACCUAAUCAGAAAGCCACGGCUAACUACGUG